rnacentral:lncRNA from 1 species
AAUUACUGAAAUCUUCGAAAUUGUAGCAUUUUGGUUAAUUUUUAGACGGUUUCCGUCUGAAAUGGAAGUGGCCGCAUUUGUAUUCAUUCUUAAUAUUUAAAUGUAAGUUGCAUUUGAUGAUAAUACAUAACAUAUAUAAAGGUUGAGAAUGAACACGGAUGCGGCCACUUUCAUUUUUGACAAAAAAACAUCUGAAAAGUGACAUAUUAUGGCAUAUUUGAUAGAUUUUUCAUAUUUAAGCUUGAAUUUGAGCGUCUUUAAUGACUAAAUCAGUUCAAAUCUUUCACAUAAACUAAUUGAAUCGACUAAAGUAGACACUCAAGUGUUUUAAAAAU